AUAAGUUGGGGAGCUGAGAGCCUUCAGCUCAUGGUGAGCAUGUCUGGCCACACGGACCCUUGAUGUCCUACAGUGAGGUAUUCGUGCUAUCUUGGGCCCAGCAGCCUUCCAGGAGCUUCCCUUCCCAUGCUGUGUAUAGUUCUCUGCAGCAAAUGGAAGAGCGUUGCUUUGAGAAGCUGAGAUGCUGCGCGGUGGUCCUGUCAUUGGGACUUGUCAAAGAGCCCACGUGACCCCUCUUCCUCACAGGUGACCCUGCUCGCCUUGGAUCUGCUGGCACCCAUGGCCCAAGCAGCAAGGCUGCUUUCACGGAAAACCAGACCUGCUGCAAAGCCUUCUCCUGUUGUGAGCUCUACUAAAGCUAGAAACCUUCCAGGUCACCUUAUAAUGGCUUCACGCAGUGGACCUCAGUGUGGAACAUUCUGCAAGCAAAACCUAAGAGACCUAAGAAGUGGUGUGCUGCUUGCUUACAGGUGGACUGUUCAUGAGUGUGGAUGUCUGCAAAAAUGGCGUGACUUUCCUUAGAAUCAGAGCCACACCCUAUGUCUGAUUCCUUUCUUUAAUCCUUUAAAUUUGGGGAGAAAUU